CAAGUCGAGCGAACAGAUAAGGAGCUUGCUCCUUUGACGUUAGCGGCGGACGGGUGAGUAACACGUGGAUAACCUACCUAUAAGACUGGGAUAACUUCGGGAAACCGGAGCUAAUACCGGAUAAGAUUUUGAACCGCAUGGUUCAAUAGUGAAAGACGGCCUUGCUGUCACUUAUAGAUGGAUCCGCGCCGUAUUAGCUAGUUGGUAAGGUAACGGCUUACCAAGGCAACGAUACGUAGCCGACCUGAGAGGGUGAUCGGCCACACUGGAACUGAGACACGGUCCAGACUCCUACGGGAGGCAGCAGUAGGGAAUCUUCCGCAAUGGGCGAAAGCCUGACGGAGCAACGCCGCGUGAGUGAUGAAGGUCUUCGGAUCGUAAAACUCUGUUAUCAGGGAAGAACAAACGUGUAAGUAACUGUGCACGUCUUGACGGUACCUGAUCAGAAAGCCACGGCUAACUACGUGCCAGCAGCCGCGGUAAUACGUAGGUGGCAAGCGUUAUCCGGAAUUAUUGGGCGUAAAGCGCGCGUAGGCGGUUUUUUAAGUCUGAUGUGAAAGCCCACGGCUCAACCGUGGAGGGUCAUUGGAAACUGGAAAACUUGAGUGCAGAAGAGGAAAGUGGAAUUCCAUGUGUAGCGGUGAAAUGCGCAGAGAUAUGGAGGAACACCAGUGGCGAAGGCGACUUUCUGGUCUGUAACUGACGCUGAUGUGCGAAAGCGUGGGGAUCAAACAGGAUUAGAUACCCUGGUAGUCCACGCCGUAAACGAUGAGUGCUAAGUGUUAAGGGGGUUUCCGCCCCUUAGUGCUGCAGCUAACGCAUUAAGCACUCCGCCUGGGGGAGUACGACCGCAAGGUUGAAACUCAAAGGAAUUGACGGGGACCCGCACAAGCGGUGGAACAAUGUGGUUUAAUUCGAAGCAACGCGAAGAACCUUACCAAAUCUUGACAUCCUUUGA
rnacentral:rRNA from 1 species